GCAACAAAAUUUAUUUGAAAAAGAGAUUACUAAAUGCUGUGGCUGAGCUUGAGGAUUUGAAGCCAAUAGUUCAACAGAAACUUGAGGCGCUAAACAGAAAAAGCACAUAUCAAGUGAAUAAGGGGAACAAUCAUCAUCGGAAUAAUCUUUUAGGAUUCUCAGGGGAAUAUUCUCCUGCCAAUAAUCAAAGCUUUAGGGCUUGGGGGACAA
rnacentral:misc_RNA from 1 species